GUUAAUUCAAUUUGUCAAUAACUUUCAGUGUAAGGUCUUCAUUUAUCUCGAUUGAAUGAUGGCUCCUCGUUCCGUGGACAAUAAUUGGAAGAAAAUUUGAUCUCUCAUUUAUUUCCAUGCUUUGAAAUCAUUGGUAUUCAGAAGUUUCCAUAGGGACAUACUCAUCAAAUAGAUUUGAGCAUGGUAGGGAAAAUAGCUAUGGUUUUUCCUCUCCUUCUCUGAUUUCUUACACUUGCAUAGAAUCCCUUAACUACUUCAGAAACUCGAGAGCGCAGAAAAGUUCAGCUAAUGGAACAACCAAGCCAAAGAACAACGGGAAGAAGCCUAGGAAGACCAGCACCUGCAACUCAAGGCCGCCCACUCUCAGCAGAUGAUAUCCAAAAAGCAAAAAUGCGAGCACAGUUUAUGCAGAGUAAAUAUGGGAAACCUAAUAAUGAUGAGAGUUCUCGGGUGAAGCCUCAAGCUCCAAAUGGAAUUACCUCUUCACCAAAUGGUAUCUUGCUUGGAGCUCCAAAAUUUCAAGAUCGGCCUAAAGUUGAGGAAUGUGAAAAGCUCAAUAGUGUUGCCUCUAAUGGGCCCAAUCAGCUGGAAAAUCAUCUCAAGUUGAGUUUUGACAUAGAGGAACCUCCAUCGAAAAGGUGCAAGAAAAUGCAGAUCCCUUGGCGGAAACCACCAGGUAAAUUUGCUGUUGUUGUUGCUGAAAGACCGUUCUUGUUAAUCUGUAGAUUUCAGAAAAGGAGGAACAUUAGUUUUUUUAAUAGGUUGAAAAGGCAAUCUCACCCAUCUUGUCUAAUAUUAUUGCUCAAUUUUUUCUCCACAAUUCCCUUCAUUAUUCUUUUUGCUUUCUCUGUCCCAAUUUAUGUGACACACUUUCCCUUUUAGUCUGUUUAAAAAAGAAUGUCACCUGCCCCCAAUGCCUAGCUCAAGUGGCAAAAGGUGGAGGAUUUGUGGCUUAGGUCGCAGGUUCAAGUCCCACACCAUGCAAAGCGAAGUCCGGUAUUUAAGUGGAGAAGGGUAGAGGGGCGGGCCCAUUAUCCACCGAGUUUAAAAGUCUGUGAUUGGUCCAAAGGGCGGGUCACAGACGGAUUACUCGGUUAUCAAAAAAAAGAAAAAAAGAAUGUCACCUUUCUAUAAUUAGAAACUAUUUAACUUUAAAAUUUUACUUUUACCCUUUUGACAUGAUUUAUAGCCACACAAAUGGUCAAGGUUUAGACCACACAUUUCAGAAAUUUUCGUUUCUUUCUUAAACUUUGUGCCAAGUGAAAUGGUGCCACAUAAAUUGGGACGGGAGUGAGUAAUACACAGGAUUCAACUGUGAGAAUUGUCUCUAGUAAAGUAGUUAGCAACUCAGCCUUGGUCUCUAACUUGCCAUACAAUAUGGUUAGCAUGGUCUUCAACUUGUCAGAAAAAAGAAAAGAAAAGGAAAAUAAUUUUUUUUUGAGCUUUGCUCUCUAAUUAUAUUUUCAUGGUAGUUGAGCUAAAGACGAUCAGGUUUCUGUUGUCUUCCAUAAGUUCAUUAUUCUAGGAACUAAUUACUGGGGAAAUAUAGAUGUGGCUUAGUAAAACUACUAGCUCAACUCUAGAAAUAUCUCUGAAGCGAACUGUUAGUUUUCAUUGUUAAACUAUCAAUUGGGCAUAUUAGGAGUGAGGUCUUGAUCUUUUAAUCACAAUAAGCAACUGUUUCCAUUUGGUUUUUAUUGUUGUAUUUCGAAAAUCUCUUGGAAGUUAUGGGUUUUCUGUGGAGCAGUUGAUUGCCAAGUGUGCCUUCUCAUUGUGAAGGAAAUCCUACUUGCAAGUAAAGGGAAACUUUUUGCCUGACACGGAUGAAAACGUUCCACAUUAUGCUUAAAAUCAAUCAGACAGGAAUAAUCAGAAAAAGAAGCAGUGGAGUAAAGGUUAAUGGUACUUUUAUAGGAGACCUGUCUUAGGAAAAUAUCAAUCUAUUUUUUGAGUUAACCGCUUAUAGUGUGCUUUUAUUGAUGAUCAGUAUGAGAGGCCAGAACACGAUAAAUUAGGUGGGAAUAUACUGUACCUCAUAAUCUUUUAUACUUUUGACUCUUCAUUGCCAUAUGCUCUUUACAAAAGGCUCAACAGUAUGGAGUUCAGUAAUUUUUUGUUUUCUCUGUUUGCUUGUUUUAAAAUUUGUGGACAAUGGUUUACACUAAAAUUUUUGUGGAAAAUGGUUUACAAUAAAAUUUUUGUGGACAAUGGUUUACACUAAAGGAUAAAAACAAGUCAUUUUCUGCUGUGAUACCCUUUCUAUCUUUAGAAUUUUACUCUCUUCUAGUUUUACAUCUACAGACUAUUAUCAGCCCUUACCAUAACUACCCAUUGUCCUGCAAAAUUUUUAGGGGUCGUUUGUGUUAGUUAUGUUGGGAUUAGUUAUGCCUCUAUUAGUUAUCCUGGUAUAAUUUCUUAUUGACUGUUCAAUUUUUUUGUAUUACAAAUAACAUGCAUUGGAUAAUUUUUAAGUUAAUUGUUUACAAAAAUACCCUUCAACUUAUUAGUUGAAAAAGGGUUUGAGGGACCUCAUGGGUAUUUUUGUCAUUUUUUAUCUCGGAAUAACUGAUUCCGGUACUGUUCCACCCUCCAAUAGGGAUAAUCUAUUCCGGUACUAAUUACUAAUUUCGGCAUAACUUAUCCCAAGACUAGUAUCCAAACAAGGAAUAAGGCACUACUAAAUUUAUCUCUGGACUAUGUAUGCUUGUUCAGUAGACUAGGCGAUCCUUAGAGAAUGUAAUAUUAUUACAGGGUGUUAUCAUCUAUCAGAAUUUUAGUUUGGUCAAACAUUGAAGCUAGUUUUGGCACGACAUGUUAAUGAAGCCAAAUGUGUGUUCCUAUUUUUCUAUCGUUUGGGGUUUGGAUUUUUUUUUGUUGUUGAUGAAAAUGGUUAAGAUAUAGGUGUGUUUGGCACUGAUGGGAAAGUUAUUCGCAAAAAAUGUUUUAGUCAAGGAAAAUAUUUUGUAGUGCUUAAUUGCAUUCAAUCGUGGAAAAUAUCUUAUGCCUAAUGGGUUCAUUUUUCUUUACAAAAUAUUCUACCAUUCAAUCAACACUAAGUGUAGUUUGGUAGCUGGUUUGGAGGUGAGUUAUGCACGUAUAAUUUUGCAUAAGUAAUACCAUGUCCCAGCAUUACUAAUACACCAUAUUGAUACUUUUCUUAUACUUAACCAAACGAUCUGUCAGAUAUAAUUUCAGUAUCUAAUUCUAAAAGAUAUCGUCAAAACUCUAAUAGCAUACCUUGCAGUCUUGCACAUUGCACGAUUACUACGACUAUCUAUUAUUAUACCCACAAACAUUGGAGAUGAUCUAAAAAAUGGUGACCUGACUUAAAAGAUGUUUUUCACAAAAAAGUAUUUUCAUCUAAAACGUUUUUCUCUGUACAGAGAGCACCUUAGAAAAGAAAAUGUCUUCUUUAAAGGCGCGAACAAGUAAUUGCCUGCUCUUCCUAUAGCUGCCUUACUGUCAUCAAUGACUGUUCCCUUUCAUCAGCUCUUGCUGUUGAACUCUUCCUCACCUUCACCCGAUCACAGUUGGCAUGAAGGAAAAUUUUGGGAUGAUGAAAAUUUUAUGUAAUUCAUUGAUAAGUUUCUUACCUUGUCUAUCAAAAACAACUUUACCCUCCUUAGCUUUCAUUUGUGGGAUUACAUUGUGUUUGUUGUUGUACUUUUUAUUUACUGGUUAGAUAUCAAAAGAUCAUAUUAGAGAUUGGCGUGAGGGGUGGGUGGGUUCUUUGUCCAAAAAGAAAAUUUGAAAGCAGGAUGGAUAUAUGAGAUUUGUUGAUCUGCAGAGAAUGACUAACCCCAACCACAUUCCCCCGUGGAGUGGCAUUCAUCAGACUAACAACAACGGUUGCUGCAGAUUAUAAGAUCUUUCUUAUGGGUCUAAAUUGUAGAGAUAGGAUAUUUGCAGUGUCAGUUACUUAUCCCCCCCCCCCCCCCCCCCCCCCCCCNNNNNNNNNNNNNNNNNNNNNNNNNNNNNNNNNNNNNNNNNNNNNNNNNNNNNNNNNNNNNNNNNNNNNNNNNNNNNNNNNNNNNNNNNNNNNNNNNNNNNNNNNNNNNNNNNNNNNNNNNNNNNNNNNNNNNNNNNNNNNNNNNNNNNNNNNNNNNNNNNNNNNNNNNNNNNNNNNNNNNNNNNNNNNNNNNNNNNNNNNNNNNNNNNNNNNNNNNNNNNNNNNNNNNNNNNNNNNNNNNNNNNNNNNNNNNNNNNNNNNNNNNNNNNNNNNNNNNNNNNNNNNNNNNNNNNNNNNNNNNNNNNNNNNNNNNNNNNNNNNNNNNNNNNNNNNNNNNNNNNNNNNNNNNNNNNNUUACCUCCCCCCCCCCCCCCUCCCCGCGCACACCCCACAAACAACGUCAGCACAUUGUAGCAAAGAAAAGGUGUAAAUAAACUCAUAAAAGCAACAUGGGUGCUGCCUGUAGAUGUAUGUUUCCGAAGGCCAAAUGCAAUCUGUCUUCUGCAUAUGUAGGCAGCAAUACUAACAUCCAACAAACUUCUUCCAUGCACAUAUGAUUCCAAGAGGCCAACUCCAAAUUUGAAGCUUAACAAAAUUGUAGUUUGAUGUUGGAUUGGUUGUUUCUUGUUGAGCUCCAAAAUUGUGGACAGGGAAAACAAUCAAGUGUUUCAAAUGUUAAUGGUGGUACGGACAUGGUUAUCCUUUUGAUGUUGGAUGCCAUGUGAUUAUUUUGUUUUAUUAUCUUUGCGGAGACAAAACUAGGGUUGACAAACAGCAGCUCUUUUAUGUAGCUCAAGGUCUUGAUCAGUUUACCAUGUGUUGUUGGGUCCGGUUAUUCAACGUUGAUACUCAUAUAAUUCUGGCCCUUCUACCCUCCCCUCCUCCUUUCAGUUCCCGGCUCGAUGUGUAGAAAAUCCAGGAUGGAAAAUUGCAGACUCAUCAUUUUCAUUUUGAGGAUAAAAAAUAGCUGUGUAAUCACCAGUUUUGUUACUUUUCAGUAUGUCUUACUGUGUCUGAAGUUGCAAAUAACUUUUAAAAACAACAUUUCUAAGUGGUAAUUGUUGCCUUGUGGUUUAACAAAUUUGAAUAGUCCACAGCUGCUAGUAUCUAGUUGGGAGAUAAUGUACGCAUGCAAAAAUUUGAACUCGUCUGUUAAUGGGUCAUCCUUAUUCAAGCUUUUCUGUUUGAUGCAGAAAUGCAGCCCAGCGAUGCAUGGAAGGUUUGUGCUGGGGGUGAGAGUAAAGAAGUCGACGUUCAGAAUAAGAGAAUCCGUCGAGAGAGGGAAAUCAUUUACAGGACAGUCCAGGAAAUUCCAUUGAAUCCCAAGGAACCUUGGGACCGUGAAAUGGACCCUGAUGACACAUUAACCACAGAACUCCCGCUUGAGCAAUUACCAGAUGCAGAAGGUGCUGAAACAGGUGUGUUGCCGCAGGAGGACAGAGAAACUGAAACUGCUGCAUUAGCCAGUACGUCAAAUGGCAUUGCAACUACAGCAGAACCUGAUGUAGAGUUGCUUGCUAUACUGCUAAAACAUCCAGAGCUGGUUUAUGCUUUGACGUCUGGCCAAGGUGGAAACUUGUCCAGUGAGCAAAUUGUAAAGCUGCUUGAUUCGAUCAAAGCCGAUGGGAGGAAUUCACUGAGCAUUCAAACAAAUUUAGCCAGAGACGCUGAGAAGAAAGUUGAAGUUUCUCUUCCGUCCCCCACUCCUUCCAGUGAUCCUGGAACGGUGCGUUAUUUAGUCACAUUUUGUACAGAUUUCAACUAUUAUGGAAUUUGGGCGGGGCUUUCGUUUCCUCAGUUGUCUCCUCUCCUCUCUCUUUCCCAUUUUUUUCUCCACUUCUCAUUUAUAGUUUUUCCAGACAAGUAAACGAGAAACAAAUAAACAAAUAAAUAAAAUAAUCAUAAAGCAAAUGAAGCCUGGACUCUGAAUCACGUUGGUAAAUACAAGUUGUCUUCCUAGUUAGCACUGUACUUUGAGAAUUUCCGCUUAGUUCGAGGUCUCCUUAACACAAACAAGGAUGUUUCAAAUAAAACAAAAUACUUAAAUAAUAUAGUGGGUUAAUUGUAGUGCUAUACUAUCUUCUUGACAUCUUAGUACUUUUCUGAAACGGGCUCUAAUUUUUUUCAACUUUUUUUUUUGGUCUUUCAUGCAGAGUGGAUUGUCGAUGCAGAACUUUGCUAAAAACCCUUUCUCGCAGAGAAGUUCAAUGGUGGUUCCAGAAGCAAAUGGUGUACAUCAACACGCUGCAUUGGUCUAUUCGCAGGAAACGCUUCAACCUAGCAGUUUGGUGCAUCAGCAGGUCCCCCUUGCGCCACAAUUAGCCCAACAGUUGGCACUGCUUCAAGCAGCUGCAGGGUCUUAUGGAAAUGAUCAUCGACCAUCUCCUCUAAAUCCUAGUAUAAACCAGACAGUCCUUACAAAUCCUAUGCAUUCACAAUUUUCCGCCACCUCAGAACCAGCAGUAAAUAGAAAUAAUUACUCUCCCUUUGGAUUGACGGAAUACAAUCAACAGAGCGCCACUGCAGCAGCAACAGCAACAGCAAGAAUCCAAGGUGAAACAUAUGGUAAUAUUCGAUCUUCGCAAAUGUCUAUAGCUAAUGUGCAACAAAGAACUAUUAGCCUACAUGCACCUCAAAUGACACCACAAAGGCCACAACUACAAACACAGGCGCAACCUGGAUAUGCACCUGAACAUAUGUGGGGGACUAUACCCGGAUCUGCUUUAAAUCGGGGUUAUCAAGAAAAUGCCAUUCCUAAUCAUUACAAUCCACAUGUUGCCGGACAUGUAGAACCAGGAUUACAACAGGCUGCAUGGAGAGGAAACAGCAACUAUUCCGAGGGAGCUGGGUUUGAAUCUUGGAGUCCUGAUAAUAGUCCUGUUAGGCGUCAGGAACAGGUUGCAAGAUGGAAUUACACACAACCUCAGAUGAAUAUGAGAGACAACUACAGACCUGAUUGGUCUGCAUCGCGUAAUCCUGGGCAUUAUUCUGGUUAUCGUGGUCCUGACGAUGGUGGUAAUAGGAGGUGGGGUGACAGGAGAAGAUAACCUUCAAACGGCUGGCCAUUUGAUUCUUUUGACGAGUGAUUCAUUAGUGUUUACAUUAGAGUAGAGCGUUCUCAGAGGGGGUUGCAUUUUUGCAACGUGAAAUGGUUGUAAACUUGUAAUGUCAGCAUGUCACAUCACUUUAUUUUGUUUCCCAAUUGGUACCUGUCAACAGAAAAAUAGAAAAUAGGAAUUCAGUUCACUUGGGAUCAUGCCAAGAUUCUUUAGAAAAAAAAAGAAGAAAUUUAUCCUAGUCAAGGGAUUGCUAUGUCUUGGUUGUGUCCCUACUUAAAAUGCUGGGAAUAAGUUAUUUCGAGAUUAAUUAUUUUGAGAUAACCUAAGGAAAAUAUUUUUAGGUCUGCCUACUAUUUUCUAAUCAAAUGCAGGAUAAAAUAAUUCUGCAUUGUAUUUGUGGGAUUAUUAUACGUUAUAUAUUACACGAGACGAUUUCUUAUGAACUUAAAAUUAAAGAAUUACUAAAAAAUAAAAGUGUCAUUCUUUUUUAAACACACUAAAAAAGAACAAAGAACGUAUGUUAAACAAAUUGAAAUGGAGGCUAGAGGUAGUAUUAAUACUCAUUCUGUACUAAUUUAUGAGGCAAAUUUAUACUUUAUUAUUGGCGGAUGAAAAUGAAGUACAUGAUUUUUUUAAAGUUAUAUUUGAAUAAAUUUUAGGGAACUUAUUAGUUACAGUUCCUAGUAUCUUCUAUAGGCAAACUGGCGAAGUAUCUGAUUCUCUCUUGCUCACAGCUCAUGCUAACGACUAAUUCUCAACGGCGAAAAUCGGUACUUGACCAAUUACAACUACUCGCCGGCGUUUCACAUCAUUUCUUCAUCGGAAAACUUCAACAGUAGUCGGAGCAACUCUCCAAUUUGAUCCAGCUGAAGAAUCUCUAAAUAUGGUAGCUAGAUUCAUCACAAGCAGUCUAAAUCGAAUACGAAAAACCUACUCAAUAUCACCAACUAUCAGUAGGCACAAUUACGAUUUCACUCCUCUAUAUGUAUCUCUGAGUUUCUAAUUCGGUGCUGACGAUUCAGCUACACGUGUUGUGAAUCCGAGUUUCAUGCUUCACAAUAUAUGGCAUACGGGCGAUUCAUAUUCUCAUCAUCAUGUCCAUCAUGACGUCCGCUCCGGUAUGACGGAGAGAAGAUUUUCUGGCUUGGACUUGCUGCUGAUAUUGGCCUUGCCGCCAGAAAAGCUUUUACAGGUUAAGUAUGUGGAAGCACCGCCAUUAUUGCUGAUGCGGCUCAUUCUAUCUCCGAUGUGGUAUGUGUGACGUAUCUAUUGAUGUUUAUUGUUUAUCUAACUUUAAUCUAUAAAAAUGAACUCUGACUUUAAUCUCUUGACCAUUUGACAAUAGAGGUUGUGAGUUUCCAGAAAAUGAGCAACAUAAAAUCUGGUUUUACUUUCUAUUAAACAAGUCGAACAUAAGUUUGAUAGAACUUGAUAAACCAGCAAAAAAGUUAUUGAUGAAAGCAAACUGGAUACUUCAUUAUAAAUUCCAGACUAAUUAAUAGAGUUCACAAUCUCAACUGAAAUAAAACAAAAUAACUUCUAAGAAUUAGGGAUAAAACUGCUACACAGAUUACAGCGAACUUAGACUGUUGCAGUUUUUAUGCAUUUUUGUAACACUCUUUGCUUUAAGACCUGCAAACUCCAAGGUUUUGCAUGAGAAGUUAAAUUUGUUGCCUGGUAAACGCUUGGUGAAGAUAUAAGCCUGCUGGCCCUCAUUUUUGCAAUAGAGAAAACUCACAUCACCAUUUUUUUGCAUUUCUCUUAUGAAGAAAAGCCUGAUAUUGAAGUGUUUAGGUUUACCAUGAAAUAUAGGAUUGUGAGAAAUUGCAAUCGCAAAUUGGUUGUCCACAUAUACUUCAGUUCCUUUUGUUUGAUUCAUAUGCAUUAUCAACCAAUAUUUUCCUCAACCACAACACUUGAUUCACUGCUGCUAUUGCAGCCACAAAUUCUGCCUCUGUAGUGGAUUGAGCCACAAUGAGCUACUUCAUUGAUUAUCAUGAAAAAAAUACCUAAACCACAACACUUGAUUCACUGCUGCUAUUGCAGCCACAAAUUCUGCCUCUGUAGUGUUGAGCCACUAUGAGCUACUUCUAAUGCUUUGUUAUGGCCUUUGCAGGUUCUGUGUGGUGUGUCAUUGCUGUCCUUUCAAGCUGCAAGGGUUCCCAAGGACAAAGAACAUCCAUGUGGUCACUCUUAAUUUGUAUCUACACGUAAACUCUUUUGAUCUUACAUCACUUUCUGUACAUGGCUUUAUCUUUUGAUUUUGUGCUUGUGUUUACUUGUGUAAUAGGUGGAUGUAAUAGCUGCCAACGUAAUUAGAUUUAGUUAACUGAGGACUGUUCGUUCCCGUGGUUGAUUUGAUAAAAUUAACCAAUAUAUGAUAUUGUAAUAGAGGUGAUAUGAUAUGAAUGUUAUAUCAUAUCUUCUAUAUUUAUCAAUGAAUACAAAUCUUAUCAACUUUACGUCUUAGUGGAAGGCAGACAGCCCUAGAAACAUGUAAAUAUGAGACUCUUCGAGCUCUUGGAAUUUCUGGUGUGCUGUUGGCUACUGCUGGUGGCAUAGGAUGGCAUGCUUUAGAUGUUUUGCUGGUAUGUAUCUAUGGCUAGUAUUCAUUAUGUCUAGGAGUCUAUAUUCCCAUUGUUUGAAAUUUUUUGAGACAUUUCUUGCAGGGAUUGUGGUCUGCAGCCUCUGAAGUUGUUAAUCAGUCAAUGACUCCUCUGCACGUGCAUGAGCAACAUCAUCAUGGAAUUGAUAUGGAUCACCCUAUCCUUGCUUUGAGUGUGACAAUACUCUCUAUAGCUGUCAAAGAAGGGUAAGAUUCAUUUUCACCUUCAAUUUGAAAAUUAAAAGAAUUUGUUCCCUUUUCUUUAUGUAUCCAUAUACAUAUUACCUUCAAGCAAUUUUAUUUUUAUGAAAGAGAGUUUCUUUGUAUUGAUUUAUUUUUUAUGAAAGACAGUUUAUUUGUACACCAUCAACGAAUUUCCAUGACCAUAUUCCAGACACCAUCAACUGUAUUUUAUGUUAUGAAAUGCAGUUGCUUUAUAUUGAUUACAAAAGCAAUAAUGAAGCUUCUAUACUUUCUCUCAGAUGCGCGGUAGUAUAGCAGCUUCAUUAAUGAAGCAAAUAAUGAAUCUGUGAGUUUGUUCCUAUAUAUAUGUUCAACUUUUUUCUUGUAGAUCAUACUGGAUAACAAAAAGAGAGGGAGAAAGGGUUGGCAGUGGGUUAAUUGAAGCCAAUGCCUGGCAUCUGCCGAUGCAGUAUCCUCCUUUGUUGGUCUCAUAGGGGAUGGUUGUUGAAUAUUGUUUGAGACGACGGGCACAAUCGACUUCUAACAACUUGAAUUUUAUUAUAUCAAAGUAAGGACUCGCUUCGGUCUUACAAUCUUGAUCACACUUGUUGCUUGCUUUAGCAACACUCUUUAUUUGAGCACACACUUGUUUGCUCUCUUGCUUUCUUACUUACUUGCUUGCUUACUUGGUUUAAUACUUACUUAGUUACAACUAAAAUGGACCACCUCUAUUUAUAGGAGGUGAUAGAAGAAUCUAGUGAUAUACAUACUACUCUAUACUAGAAUAUUUCUAGCUAUUUUUUUCUAGAACUACCUUUUCUAGAACAUUUUUAGACUAUUCUCUCUAGAAUACUCAUUCUAGAGAUCUUCCUUCAAUUCUCUACAACUCCGAAAUAUUCUAGAUUUCUUGAUUUAUCUUGAGUAAAUAAUUAAGUUGGUGAUGAAUUCUUAAUACUCCCCCUAAACACCAACUUAAUUUUUUCUUUGCGUUUGUUGUGAGCGGUUCCUGAAACCUUGCAAGCAUCAUGACGUCCAUGCCCUUUGAGGAUCUCCACUUUCGUUGGAUUAUUUUGAUCCCUACUCUUUGAAGCUUCUUCAAAGGUAGUAGCCUCUUUGAUGUUAACCACCUCAUUAAUGCUGCAUCUAUGUACUUGGUGUUUGGACGCUUCAGUCGAGUAGACCUCCUCAGUUGCCAUUGUGACCCUUUUUGGACUUCUUCUUCUUGCAACUCGUCUGGUGUUUCACAAGCUCCAGUUUGCCAUAAGCUUUUCUUUUCCUUUUGUGGAGAUACCUCCUGGUUAGUUUCAAUCUUGUUCCCUUGUUCUACUUCGUUGAGCUUAUCUUGCAGCUUUUGCUCAAGAGCUAUCGAGUCUGGCAGGGAGACUUCUUUGGACCACCAAGAUGACGCUUCGUCAAAUACCACAUUUCUUGACACAUAUGUCCGAUUAGUGACAAGGUCACAACACUUCUAUCCUUCUAUUUGUUCGUCGUAUCCAACAAAGAUGCACCGAACAACUUUCUUAUCAAAUUUGCUGCGGAGAUGAUUUGGCACGAACACAUAGCACACAUAACCAAAAACUCGAAAGUGACUUACAAUAGGGAUCAUUUUUUUAAGUUUUUCAAAUGGUGAGAUGAAUCUCAAUCUUUCCUGCUGCAGCCUGUUGGUGAUGUGGACAAUAGUUUUCAUGCAUUCUGUCCAAAACCUUGCUGGUACAUUCAUACUAUGUAGCAUACUUUUGCAUAUCUCUGCCAAAUGUCUAUUUUUUCUUUCAGCCACUCCAUUUUGUUGUGGCGUAUUCGGGCAAGUUAACAGUCGUCUUAUCAUCUACUUUUUAAGAUAAUCAUUGAACUCUCGUGACGUGUAUUCUCCCCCAUUGUCCGUACGGAGACAUUUGAUUUUUCUUCCAGUAUCAUUCUCCACAUUAUGUUGGAACCCUUUAAACUUCUCAAAUACUUCUCAUUUCUCUUUUAAUUAGUAAAUCCAUACGUACCAUGAGAAGUCAUCAAUGAAUGCUACCAUGUAACGGUAACCACUGAUGGAGGACUGCUUCACUGGUCCAAACACGUCUGAGUGUACUAGCUCCAAUUGCUUCUUUGCUUGAUACUUUGAUUCUUCAUAGGGAAGUUGAUGUGCUUUCCCAUAUUGACAUCUAACACAUAUAGUGUCUCCUAUAAUCUCAAGUUUGGGAAGACCUUUUAAUUUUGAUUGCUGCAUCAUGAUUUUUAGUUUGUUGUAGCACAUGUGCCCAAGACGUGUAUGCCACAGAUCAGCUGUUUCAUUACUUCGAGUUUUCUCAACAUAAGUUGUCUCGGCUGACAUGACGUAGAUUGAUUCUAACCUUUUUCCUUCCAUGAUUGGUGUGCUUGUAACUUUUAAGUUUCGAUAUACUUUUAUGUCAUUUGGCCCAAACAAGACAUAAUUACCAGAAUCUGUUAGUUGCGAUACAUAUAAUAAGUUUUUCUUCAUACCUGGAACAUGGUAGAUAUUUUGAAGUUCCACUUGCCUCGAGCUAUUAUGAGACACAAACACCGUCUUGCCAAUAUGCGUUAUUGGCAUUUUUGAAUUAUUUGCAGUUACCAUUACUUAACCGUCUUUACAUUCACUCAUGUUAAUGAGAUUUUUCUCAUCACCAGUCAUGUGAUUGGAAUAUCCUGAAUCAACGAUCCAAUAAUGUUCAUAAUCGACCAAUUUCUCAUUUACAAUUGCAAGUGCAAUCUCUUCUUCUUUGUUAGGGUGACACAUGACAAGAUCCUCUUGUUGAUUAGUUUCUUCAACUGUAUAAGAGGUCUCGAAAUCCCAAAUUUCUUCAUCUUUCUUGUUUUGAGUAGAAUUAUCUACAUUACCUUCAGCUUUCCUGUACAGUAGUCCUAGCAUAGUGUCCUUUCUUUCCACAAUUGUAGCAUUUCUCCAUUUUUCGGUUGUUGAAGCCUUUCGCCUGCUUGUUUUGCCGUUGAGUUCUUUGAUGUUGAUUCUUUUUCUCUCUCCCUGGCCGCGAGCUUCUCUUUUUUUGAAAGUCUUGCCUUUUGUUGAAAAGCGCCUUAUCUUCGUCUUUAUAGUGACACUUUAUAAUGGCUUCUCCAAAUCUUCUUCACUUGCCAACAAAUUUUCCAACUCAGAUAAAGUUGGUUCUGUGGCCCAUCCCCAUGUAGCUGUAAUUAUGCCUUUGUAUUCCGGCCUUAGACCAUGAACAAUGAUUCUCCUCAUUCUCGUCUCUGUGAUAGCAUUCUCUGAAUCUAAUUUUGAUAUUUCAUCAGAUAAAGAUUUUACCUUUGAGAAGUAUUGACUGAUCGUCAUAUUCCGUUGAGAGAUCGACAAAAGCUCAUUUUCAAGUCUUUGUAAUCUUGCAUCAUUUUUCUUUGUAAAAAUCGAUGUCAAGGUUUCCCAAUCUUCUUGGGGUGCCUUGGCAUUCUUAAUUUGUUGUAGGAACUCAUCCUCGGUGGUUACAGUGAGAGCAUACAUGGCCUUUCCAACUUUGACCUUCUACCUUUUUGCUGCUUCAACAUCUGUUGGUGGUGUGGUGUUUGAUCCACUGAUGAUAUCCCAUAAUUCUUGGCCGAGAAAGUAAUAAUGCAUUCUCUGCUCCAUGAUCCGUAGUUGCUUGUGUUGAGCUUCUCAACGCUAUUGAGAGUGCUUGCGAAAUCUGCCAUUGAUAAGUGCCUCACGACUUGUAGCCUCUGACAAUAGCUUCUAAGAUUUUCUUUACUACCUCGCUCUUAUCCACCAGGCUCUGAUACCACUUGUUAAAUAUUGUUUGAGACGAUGGACACAAUUGACUUCUCACAACUUGAUUUUAUUAUAUCAAAGUAAGGACCCGCUUCAGUCUUACAAUCUUGAUCACACUUGUUGCUUGCUUCAGCAACACUCUUUACUUGAGCACACACUUGUUUGAUCGCUUGCUUUCUUACUUACUUGCUUGCUUACUUGGUUUGUUACUUAGUUACAACUCAAAUGGACCACCUCUAUUUAUAGGAGGUGAUGGAAGAAUCUAUAGAGAUACAUACUACUCUCUUCUAGAAUAUUUCUAGCUAUCUUUUUCUAGAACUACCUUUUCUAUAACAUUUUAAGACUAUUCUCUCUAGAAUACUCAUUCUAGAGAUCUUCCUUCCAUUCUCUACAACUCCGAAAUAUUCUAGAUUUUUCUUGAUUUAUCUUACUUAAAUAAUUAAGUUGGUGAUAAAUUCUUAACAAUGGUAAUGAUCUUUAUACUCAAAUUUGACCUAAUUAUGUAUCUUUUUCUUUUAGCGAACGAGUUUUCACCAUUGAUUUGUUUAAUUGUAUCAUUGAGAACUAAUCAAAAUGUGUGUACUGGUUUUACUUUAAGCAUGAAAUACUAAUAUGUACUGUGGAGUGUUGCUAUUAAUUUGGUCUAGAAUAGUUUAUGAUUUUUUAUAUUCACAAUAUCAUUUUUUAUUAAUAAAGUACAUUUAUGUAUGUAAUGUCUACAAUAAUUACAACAUAGCUAGUGUAGUCGCACAAGUGGGGUCUGAGGAGGGUAGGAUGUACGCGGACCUUAGUUCUAUCUUUGCGGGGCAGAAAGGUUCUUUUCAAUACAUCCUUAGCUCAAACGAGAAGGUAAUCAAAGCAAGGUUGCAAGGAAAUAUGACAACAAAAAUAUCAGGAUAGAAAGAAAGCAAAUGAAGCAAUAGAUUGUAGAACACCUUGGAGCAUAGGAAACUACGUGAUUACUAGAUACUACUACUAAUAAGGCUAUUGGGGGGGUGGGGGAUGUGGCUAGCGCUUGUCUCUCCCAUCUAAAAAUAGGGGACAACACUUGGCUAUAUACUAGCAUUCUACCCUAAUUCUUGACUUCCACACCUUUCUAUUUAUGUCCUCAGUAAUUUGGAGUUAUGUCAUAUCCUGUCUAAUCACUUCCCCCAUCCCAGUUUUUCUUCAGCCUACCUCUACCUCUUUUCUUCUCUCAAUUUCUCAAUUUGCCCGUCCCCUUGUCAAAUCUUUUUCAUCUACGGACGUCACGUCACUCUUUGCCUUUUCAUCAACAAGGUGGGGAACAAAACAAUCCUCUUCUUCUUCUUCCCCCAUUUACGUAGCUGCUGUGGAAACCCUAGAAUUAAUCCUGAUGGAAUUGAGCUUUGUUCCUCUUCUUCAAUUGGUUGUUGAAUCUGAUGCGUGAAUUGGUUCGAUCUAUUGCUUCGAGGUCGGUCGAAAUUUUCGAUUGGCGGAGUCUAAAAUGGAAAAUCAAUUACAAUUGGCCUUGACCAGUCCUACUACGCCGUUCUCGAGCUUGUUCGACUCGCAGAAGGAAAUUCUCAAUAGCCAGAUUUAUCAGCUCCAAAACAUCAUUGUACAACAAUGUAACCUCACUGGCGUCAAUCCCCUCUCUCAAGAGAUGGUUCGUUUUCUUAAUCUUUGUUUUUUUCUGAAGUUUUUUUUAUUUGAGUACUUGUUUCUCUUAAAAUUCUGAAUUUGCCUCUUGUACUUUGUUGGUAGUGAUUGUUUUAGGAAAUGUAGGAACUAGCAUUGGUUAAGUUGACAGUUCUUAAGUUUUAUGGUUAACUAGAUCCACCUUUUACAGUACAGAAAUAGUAAUGAAUUUAUGUUUAUGUAAGUCAUAAGUGUAACAUACUAUAUGUGGUUGUACAAUUGAAGGAUUAAAUUUUUAAAAAGAACUUUUUAAAGGCUUUCUGUCAUUCUUGCUGUUAUGCAUAAUUUCUUAUUUCUUUUGUUCCAUAUGCUCCAAAAGAGACAAGAAAGUCCCAUCUUCCAUGCUUGCUCCUUUUUAUUUCCAAGUGUAUCUAAUUUUUUUUGAUGACAAAGUGUAUCUAAUUUCUAACACAUGAUUGCUUUCUUAGGUGUCCUUGGUUAAUUAGAAUACAAGAUUUCACAUCUGUUAAAGCCAACCUUCAUGCAACAAUAAGUCGUUAGUAUCUUGUCCAGAUUCUUUGACAUGUGCAACGCUAACUUACAAGUAUCCUUGCCUCUUUCUUAAACAGUCCACACUUGAAGUAGCACCUCAUACUGGACAUAAAAAAAGCGAGCUACUUUCUUCCCAUCACUUAGUGGUCAUAACGUUUUCCACCCAUCCCUCCCGUCUCCCAACCUAAAGGUCCAAAUAAAAGUUUUUAUCUAUAAAGACCUUGUCCCUUCCUCCUUCAUUUCAUUUUAUUUCACCCUUCCAUGUAUCAUUACAUACUCUAUGAAAGAGUUCCUUAACUUUCCAGUUUAAUUUUUAAUGGAAGAACUCCCUGACUGCAUUCCUUUCCCAAUCUUUAAUGACCCUCCUAAAACUUAUACUGAUACCCUUAAAGGUCUCAGUGAAGUAAUCAGUUAUCAAAGUAUCUUUCUCUUUACUAAUCCAUUUACAUGUGUAUAUGCAUUCUCUAUGGCUAUCCCUUCAGACUAUACAUCCUUUCAAAACCUAACACUAGAGUCAUCAUUCAUCCUAGAGCCAAUACAUCUAUCCACUCAGUCCCUCACCAGAAAUCAUCCACCGCGUGCUAUUCCAGUUUUAGUAGAUAUGAAAUUACCCGAUACCUGUAUAGACUUACUCGGUACUUGUGUUUGUGGGAGCUUGCAAGUACUAAGCUCCCCUAGACACCAGUGUCAUAAAAAAUUUAGAGCUUGAAUGGGUUAACGGAUUGAAAAGUAGCCGAUAAGCAUUGUGUGCUGAAAUUGAUUUUAUAAAUAAGUUGUAAUGUAUCAUCUUUCUUCUCCUUAAAAAAGUAGUUAUGUGAUCGUGUAGAAGUGCUAAAAUUGAUAAUAAGCAGUUAAAAUGUUUGGUUAAAAAGUGUUGAUAAAUAAUUUUUCCAUUAAAAUGACUAAUAUAUCCUUAAAGUUAUUUUCAAAAAUUAUAUAUUAAAAAGUAUGUACACAAGGAGAAGAACAAACAACAGAAUGUAAUGGAAGCGAUUUUAAGAGUCAUGUUUUGAGAGGAGAAUUUUGAAAAUUUAUAUAGUUUUAGGCAAAUUAGAAGUGCUUGUUUGCCGAAAAGCGAUAAGUUGGAGGUGACCAACUUGUGUCUUAUGUUGAUUUUGGCUUAUAAGCAAUUUAUGUGUUUACCAAACAUGUAGUUAGUAGAUAUAAUAACUUUUGAUGACACAUUAUCCUCUUGAGAUUAUCCCCAUAAUCAUCUUCUUAGAAGUGCUGUAUUGAAGGUGAAUUAUCUCUUUUCUCUUUUGAUACAGAGAAAUCCGUGUUAUGUGUUUACCAAACAUGUAGUUAGUAGAUAUAAUAUCUUUUGAUGACACAUUAUCCUCUUGAGAUUAUCCCCAUAAUCAUCUUCUUAGAAGUGCUGUAUUGAAGGUGAAUUAUCUCUUUUCUCUUUUGAUACAGAGAAAUCCGUGUGGAGCCAACUCUUAGGACCAACCACAACUUUCAAAACUCGGGGAUAAUGAGCCCACACCCCUAUCUCCUGAUUCCUAACCUCUCUCUGUAUCCUCUCUACCAAAUUUCCCUUCCUUUCUUCCCUAGAAAAUUUUUGAUCAAUUUCUCCAGUUUGUUUGCUCGUAAAUACUACCACGAUACAUGAUUUAUAAGUUGUUCACAAAAAUGAGAUUCCUCUGCUGAAUUAAUUUUUCUAUUCUUGGAUUUGUACAUACAUAGGCUACAAUUAUCAAACCUCAUCUCAUUACAUUGGGUGAUUUGGGAACUUAUUUCUGCUGAUGGCUCAUUCAUUUUUCUUCCGUUGUGCAGGCUGCAGGAUCUCUUUCAAUAAAAAUUGGUAUGACUCCUUGGCCAAAAUUAAAAUCAUGAUGCUUGUGUAGUUGAGUAAAAAAUUUAGUUGACUUGGAUCCCUUCUGAGAAUGAACACACAGGAGCUCAUAUUGACAUAUUCAUUUAUUACUCUUAUAUUAUUUUUUGCACAUUGAUUAUACUACGUGGAGCAUGUUGCUUUUGUUGGGUGGUUCUUUCAUUUUAUUCUGUUUGAUUUGCUUUUUACUUAUAUAUUUGUUUUUUAUUUUAUUUGCUUUUUACGUAUCAUCUUUUUAAAAAAAUUAUUUGCUUUAGUAGUAGUUUUUUUUUGUUGCCAAGUAUAACAUUGCUUUUAUGUACCAGAAUUACUUGUCUUGAUGUUUAAGGUGAACUUGCUUAACAAUCUAAGUUGCUACUGUCAUCUUAUAUUUACAAGCUGAUGCUUUGAUCCAAAUUAUAUGUAACGCGUCUUUUUAGUUAUUAGCGUAAAUGACGCUCUUGACUUCUUCAAUUUUUGUGCAAGCUACUCUGAUUCCAUUUGUAUUCUGUUAGUUUAACAUCAUCUGUUGCAGGCAAAAGGCCAAGGGAUCUCCUAAACCCCAAGGCAAUCAAGUAUAUGCAAUCUAUUUUCUCUGUCAAAGACGCAAUCAACAAGAAGGAAAUGCGUGAAAUUAGUGCUCUUUUUGGUGUCACAGUCACACAGGUGUGUUGCUUUUUCACAGUUUUUAGUAAUUAUUUCUCCAUUCUAUCUGGCUUGAAUUUUGUUUAAAACUUGUCUACAUUAGUGAAUGUCGAUUAUUUUAAAUGUGAUUGGAUUCCUUGUCUAGAAUUUGAGUUAAGAUCAUAGAUCAAGAAGAGCAAUUGUUUGACUUGUAAAUCUCAGUAUCUCUCAUUUGUUUCAUGAGCAAUGGUUUGACUUGUAAAUUUCAGUAUCUCACAUUUGUUUGAUGCUAUGAAGUGCAAUAAUCCUAUGCUCAUGAGUUGUCAUUGUUCAAAAGAAUUUUUCCAUGGAAUGUCACUCUCAAAAACUAUGAAAGGAGCAUAUGUUGGUGGCAUUUGCAUACUAGUUGCACCAUCUUUCUUUAGUUCAGUUUUGCUAUUUUGGAUAUUAGGAGCACACUAGUGCUUUCGAGAACAGGCUAUUAUGGAAUUAUGCACCUUUUUGUGUUUGAUGAUGUAGCUCCUUGGCCCUUAGAAAUACAUUCCCCUUUCUCCUUCGCUUUUUUGGGUGGUUUAGGUAUGGAAAGAUUCCUUAAUCCCUUCUGCAUAGACAUUCAGUAGCUUUCCCUGGUGCAAUUUAAGCUGGAAGAUGAUAUAAGAUCUGUGCAUUCUCCGAUUUCAUCUUCUCUGACAAUUUUCACGUUGUUUGUUUGAAUAUCAUCUUUGCAUUUGCAGGUUCGGGACUUCUUUACAGCUCAGCGCACAAGAGUUAGAAAGUUCCUGAGGUUGUCUAGAGAGAAGCCUAUCAUAACCAAUAUAUCUAUUGAAGGGCCUUGUCUGAUCCCAUUAAGUUCUGAUCCUAGUUCACAAACAGAACCAGUUCCCCUAGACAGUGCGGUACCAACCUGUACAGAGGAGGGGCCAUCUUAUUUGACACAAGAUGAGGUCCUAACUGCCAUAGAGGAGAGGGAUAGGCAUUUUGUUGAUAAUAUCCUUACUUUAAUGUGUAAGGAAGAAACCUUUUCUGGGAGGGUUAAGCUGAUGGACUGGAUCUUGGAAGUACAAAACCCCUCUGUGCUAUAUUGGUACGUAAGAGUUGUGGUCGUUGAAUUUUAAUUGUAUUCUAGUUUACUCCUUUUCGAAUAUAAUUUGUUUUCUUAAUAACAUAUUUGUAGGUUUUUAACUAAAGGGGGUGUAAUGAUCUUAUCUGCAUGGUUGAGUGAAGCAGCUGGAGAAGAGCAAACCAGCGUUCUUCAUCUCAUCCUGAAGGUCCAUAUUGAUCCUUUAAUUUUAGAUCAUUGGCCCAUUAUGUCAUUUUUUCUUCUAGAAUAUUGUUGUUCUAAUUGUUACUUGGUUAUCAGGUACUCUGCCAUCUUCCUUUACACAAAGCAUUUCCUGGACAUAUGUCUGCUAUACUGCAGAGUGUUAACAGUCUGCGAUUUUAUCGGACUCCAGGUGUGUUGUCCUCGCAUUCAACAACUCCUUAUUUUAUCUUUAGGUAUCUUUCUGUUAAAAAGACAUUAAAAAACUUAAUCUGCUCAUCUCCAUGGCUUAUACAUUUCUGGUAGCUUGUCUGAAGCUUGUGUAUUAUUGAUAUUAUGCCGCAUUACAGAAUUUCCUGAAACUUAGUUGGAUAUUUAGGAAACAUGUCAAUCAAAGUAAGCACAGCUUUUUAUACUAGCAGUGGCAUCUCUACUGAACUAUUUACUCAGUGAAUCACACAUUACAUAGUGCUGCUCUUAAGAAUUAUGCGUAUAUGGCAUGUCAUAUUAGGACAUUACUUUCAGAAAUCACUGUAUUGGUAAUGCAAUCAUUUUCAGUAUUUCGUUAUCUCAGACGAUCUGUUGUGUUUUUGCUGUCAAAUAGGACAGUGUUCUUGGAAACUAUUUCACUGGCAAUACAUUCAACUAUAUCUUUCUUAACUUCAGAUGAAUUUUUGGACUUUCAAUCUGUAAAUUUUUUAAUGAUCCUGAUUUGAUACUUCAACUGAUCAUAUUCUGAGAGACAAUGGAAAGCAUCAUCGAAUAAAUAUGUUUAUUUCUAGCUGCAUCAGUUAUAUAAAAUUUGUUAGAUAAGAAGACACUACUAAAAUAGAUGAUGUUGCAUUUUCUUUUAUUUGUAUCAGCCGGUCAGAGUAAUUUGCUAUUUCGGUGGGGUUUAUACUGUAUUUUCAUGAUAGCUGGCUUCUGUACUGCACUAUAUUUGUAUUUUUUGGGAUGGGGAGGGGGUGAUGGGUGGUUGAGAAACCCUUCUUUAGCUCCAUCAGUAUUUUGGAUCUCAUUCAUCUCAUUUGAAGAUCAGAUAUCUCAGACAGGGCAAGUAUUUUGCUUGCAAGAUGGAGCAACAUAUUUGCAAAGAGCCAGGCUAUGAAGAAACGUAAUGGGGUUAAAUCUGCUAGUGAUAUGCAUGAUGAGUUGUUAUUGCAGCAGAGGUAAGCUUUGGUCGUGCCUCAAAAAUACCUUUAUGGCUUUUCUCAGUAAUCAACACAUUUGUUGCUGUUUGCAGCAUUAGCGAAGUUGUGGGUAACGAAGUAUGGAACUCAAAAAUUGAGGACGUUGUAAGUUUAUUGCGUACUUAAAUGUAUUUGGUUUAGAAGAUGCUGGUUUUUUUGAAUAAAAAAGAAGAGCGGAUUUUUAUUCUUGCUUGAUCAUUUUCCUUCUGUUUGGUAUUCUAGGAAGAAGCUCGUGCAAACCUCUGUGGGACUUCAGAGAAUUCAAGGUCUGGUGUGUUCUUACUACCUUGCUUUUUGUAAUUGUUGAUGAAUUUCUAAGCACACACCUCUCUUUCAGGAAUUUGGAUUCUCCACAUCCAGUUAAAUUGCUUAUGGCAUCUUCAGAUGACUCUAACAAGAGGCUUAAAGGAGCUUUGGUGACUAGUAUCCUUAUAUUCCCCUAUGGUUAAUUCAAUUUGUCAAUAACUUGCAGUGUUAGGUCUUCAUUUAUCUCGAUUGAAUGAUGGCUCCUCGUUCCGUGGACAAUAAACUGUCGUUGGAAGAAAUUUUGAUUUCUCAUUUGUUUCCAUGCUUUGGAAUCAUUGGUAUUCAGAAGUUUCCAUAUGACAUACUCAUCAAAUAGAUUUGAGCAUGGUAGGGAAAAUCGCUAUGGUUUUUCCUCUCCUUUUCUGAUUUCUUACACUUGCAUAGAAUGCCUUAACUACUUCAGAAACUCGAGAGCGCAGAAAAGUUCAGCUAAUGGAACAACCAAGCCAAAGAACAACGGGAAGGAGCCUAGGAAGACCAGCACCUGCAACUCAAGGCCGCCCACUCUCAGCAGAUGAUAUCCAAAAAGCAAAAAUGCGUGAACAGUUUAUGCAGAGUAAAUAUGGGAAAACUAAUAAUGAUGAGAGUUCUUGGGUGAAGCCUCAAGCUCCAAAUGGAAUUACCUCUUCACCAAAUGGUAUCUUGCUUGGAGCUCCAAAAUUGCAAGAUUGGCCUAAAGUUGAGGAAUGUGAGAAGCUCAAUAGUGUUGCCUCUAAAGGGACCAGUCAGCUUGAAAAUCAUCUCAAGUUGAGUUUUGACGUAGAGGAACCUCCAUCGAAAAGGUGCAAGAAAAUGCAGAUCCCUUGGCGGAAACCACCAGGUAAAUUUGCUGUUGUUGUUGCUGAAAGACCGUUCUUGUUAAUCU
rnacentral:lncRNA from 1 species